rnacentral:rRNA from 1 species
AGAGUUUGAUCAUGGCUCAGAUUGAACGCUGGCGGAAUGCUUUACACAUGCAAGUCGAACGGUAGAGGGGGCAACCCCUCGAGAGUGGCGAACGGGUGAGUAAUAUAUCGGAACGUGCCCAGUCGUGGGGGAUAACGUAGCGAAAGUUACGCUAAUACCGCAUACGAUCUACGGAUGAAAGCGGGGGAUCGCAAGACCUCGCGCGAUUGGAGCGGCCGAUAUCAGAUUAGGUAGUUGGUGGGGUAAAGGCUCACCAAGCCAACGAUCUGUAGCUGGUCUGAGAGGACGACCAGCCACACUGGAACUGAGACACGGUCCAGACUCCUACGGGAGGCAGCAGUGGGGAAUUUUGGACAAUGGACGCAAGUCUGAUCCAGCCAUUCCGCGUGCAGGAUGAAGGCCCUCGGGUUGUAAACUGCUUUUGUACGGAACGAAAAGGUUUCCAUUAAUACUGGGAGCUCAUGACGGUACCGUAAGAAUAAGCACCGGCUAACUACGUGCCAGCAGCCGCGGUAAUACGUAGGGUGCAAGCGUUAAUCGGAAUUACUGGGCGUAAAGCGUGCGCAGGCGGUUAUGUAAGACAGAGGUGAAAUCCCCGGGCUCAACCUGGGAACUGCCUUUGUGACUGCAUAGCUAGAGUACGGUAGAGGGGGAUGGAAUUCCGCGUGUAGCAGUGAAAUGCGUAGAUAUGCGGAGGAACACCGAUGGCGAAGGCAAUCCCCUGGACCUGUACUGACGCUCAUGCACGAAAGCGUGGGGAGCAAACAGGAUUAGAUACCCUGGUAGUCCACGCCCUAAACGAUGUCAACUGGUUGUUGGGUCUUCACUGACUCAGUAACGAAGCUAACG